UGGCUUGUAGCUUAACUGGAAAAGCACCCGGCUUUUAACCGGGGGAUUGUGAGUUCGAGUCUCACCAGGCCAA
rnacentral:tRNA from 1 species